rnacentral:rRNA from 1 species
CGGCGGACGGGUGGGUAACACGUGGAUAACCUACCUAUAAGACUGGGAUAACUUCGGGAAACCGGAGCUAAUACCGGAUAAUAUAUUGAACCGCAUGGUUCAAUAGUGAAAGACGGUUUUGCUGUCACUUAUAGAUGGAUCCGCGCCGCAUUAGCUAGUUGGUAAGGUAACGGCUUACCAAGGCGACGAUGCGUAGCCGACCUGAGAGGGUGAUCGGCCACACUGGAACUGAGACACGGUCCAG